rnacentral:rRNA from 1 species
UUUCUGACCUAUCAGCUUUCGACGGUAUGGUAUUGGCUUACCGUGGCAGUGACGGUUAACGGGGGAUUAGGGUUCGAUUCCGGAGAGGGAGCCUGAGAAACGGCUACCACAUCUAAGGAAGGCAGCAGGCGCGCAAAUUACCCAAUUCUAACAGUUUGAGAGAGGUAGUAACAAGAAAUAACAAUACAAGGCAAUUAAAAUGUUUUGUAAUUGGAAUGAUAGAAAUUUAAACCCUUUUUAAAGUAUCAAUUGGAGGGCAAGUCUGGUGCCAGCAGCCGCGGUAAUUCCAGCUCCAAUAGCGUAUAUUAAAAUUGUUGCAGUUAAAAAGCUCGUAGUUGAAGUUCUGCUAAAAGUAACCGGUCUGCUUUUAAUAAAAGUGGUAUCUUGGUGUGUAUUUAGCAAUGAUGUCCUUUGAAGUGUUUUUUANUUUAUUGUAAUAAAGCAUAUUCAGGACUUUUACUUUGAGAAAAUUAGAGUGUUUCUAGCAGGCCGACGCUUUGAAUACUGCAGCAUGGAAUAAUAAGA